rnacentral:tRNA from 1 species
UGGGGUGUGGCUCAGCGGUAGAGCGCUUGCCUCACACAUGUGAGACCCUGGGUUCAAUCCUCAGCACCACAU